UACGUAGGGUGCGAGCGUUGUCCGGAAUUACUGGGCGUAAAGAGCUCGUAGGUGGUUUGUCGCGUUGUCCGUGAAAACUCACAACUCAAUUGUGGGCGUGCGGGCGAUACGGGCAGACUGGAGUACUGCAGGGGAGACUGGAAUUCCUGGUGUAGCGGUGGAAUGCGCAGAUAUCAGGAGGAACACCGGUGGCGAGGGCGGGUCUCUGGGCAGUAACUGACGCUGAGGAGCGAAAGCGUGGGGAGCGAACAGG
rnacentral:rRNA from 1 species